CCCGGGGUAGCUCAGUGGUUAGAGCGAGGGUCUCAUAAUCCCUAGGCCGGUGGUUCGAAUCCACCCUCCGGGACCA
rnacentral:tRNA from 1 species